AGAGAUAAAGCCAAACCCGCCGCGAGGCGGGGACGGAAAGCCACGGGCCUCACGCAGGCGGCCGGGUUGCCUGGG
rfam:Pseudodesulfovibrio indicus strain J2 chromosome, complete genome.